ACCCAGAGCCGCAGCGUCAGCAGCCCCAGCAGCAGUGAGGCCAGGAGGGCUGACCGCGCAGCGGGGCGCGGGAGGCAGCAGCGCCGGGAGGGGCUCCAGCACCGCGCCAACAGCGAGGCCGCCUCCCGGUGGUUAGGGGCAGCCACACCUGGACGUGAAAUCAAAGGAAUAUAUGACAAGGAAAUGCUGGUGAAUGAAACAUAAAACUUUCGUAGGAGAGACCGAAAAGAUUUGCCGUUAAAUCUAAUCCACUCUCUAAAUAUGACUCUUCCCAGAGAAAUAAAAUUAUGCCAGAAGAUUUCAAAAGACAAUUACUGAAUAAUUAAAUCACCUUUAAUGGCUGAAUAAGGAAAAGGAAGCUAAUCAGCUGAAGUGUCUGCAGGAGAAUGCCACGGAGACCACAUGGGAACAGUUUCAUGAUGAGGCCCAGUCAGCUGGUACCUAGAAUCCCUCCAAGAGCAGAGCUGUGCAAAGUGCACUCUGACAUUCCCUUCAACUAGAGCUCCUGACUUUGGCAACUAAAAGCCUUUCUCAACUGUAACAUCUAAAGUUCUCAUGUAUGCACAUCUGAAAGACAGUUUGAUUGUUACCUACCUAAACCAUCUCUAAAUAUAUCUGUAUGUGGAAUUUAUUCUACCCAAUAUCCUUAUCCCAAAAUCUUACUGAAAAAUUUCUGCACCCAGUGGAAAAUAAAAACUUAAUUUUAAAUGUCAUGUACAUUGCCAAAUGCAUUUUAAU